CAACGAAGAUGACUUCCUCUCGGUUGUCGUGGAAUUCCCGCGGCUCUGUGCUCGUGUGCUUCCCGGACUGAACCGUGUGGUGAACUGGCCAAACCCUAAAAAAUAAACUCCCUCAUCUGAAACCCGUCAAAGGACAAAAGCACCAAUCAGACGGGCGUGAAGUGGACGACGGGCCGGAUUUCACCGUCAUGGUUCCACCAUGAGCGAGAACUUGCUGGACCUCUGGUUUCCCAGGCGCGUGCUCGCGGUCUGAGCCCUAACAUGUCAUCAUUAUCACGCUGAAACAUGGAGCUGCUCAUGUGUUUCCUGCACAC
ensembl:lncRNA